AGGUGUGACUAUACUAGCACUAAUGCAGCAGAUCCUAUGAGAACUCUGCAGCUAAGCGUGCUUGGGCGAGAGUAGUACUAGGAUGUGUGACCUAUAGGGAAGUCCUCAUUUUUUACCUC
rnacentral:rRNA from 2 species